AUACAGUGAUGUGGACACCUUCUCAGUAGUUCCAUAUAUCUUUCUCAUGCUUUAUACAAUGAUUCUCCUUCCUGCUGCACAAAAGAUGUAAUUUCUCCUCUCAAUUU